CUUGACUGUCGUGGGAGUCUCGACUACUGUUUCAAAAAGCAUGCUAGUCUAUGGUCUUUUUCCCGCUAAGAAUGUAGGGAAUCCAAAAAUUGAAUUUUGUUAUGGCUCAUAAGAACAACAGCAUGCUGAAACUGUACAGUAACCCCCAGGUAUGAUGGGGAAAAAUUGACAGUGUCUCAUCUGUUUCUCAGUCACGGUACACUCUUAGGUGUUAGAACUGGUAACACCUAAGACCAUGAAGGUUUACAAGUCAGUUGCUUGGGAGAGCUCAGGGACAUAUAGGGUUUCCAGCCUUCUGGGUUGGUUACUUGUUUUAGUGAUGUCCUAACUCUAUGUCAUAUACAGGUAUAAACAGUUCCUACGAUGGUAGGAGGAAUCACUGGAAGGUGGGCUGAAUGUGGACCAUACCUUCUGAUCCUGCAAGCGAUCAGAUCCACAUGACACAAUACAACUUAUACCUUCUGGUUACUUCAGAUGUAGCCCAAAUAUUGCCAGCUGUCAACAGUGAGGAGUAUCUACGCUAAGUCUGCUAUGCCAGAAAACUGAAGAGUAAGGCAAGGACGCUUGUCAUCACUGAUUUGACAGCAGCAGUGGGAGGCAUAAAUCAUCAUCAGUUGAAUGCUGUAUAUAUGUGAUAAUGGAUCCCACCCUUGUCUGCCUCCAAUUUUGAUUCAGCACUUUCUUAUUUUUGAAAAGCACAUAAAAGAACAUUGGUUAAUAUUAAUAGUAACAAACUCCACUCUUUUGGAAGGGACUCAUUACCAUGCCAGCUGCCAGCUUUGUGAUUACAAAGACGUUUCUGCUAGCAGUUACAUCCAUACGUUGGCUUGCAAUAGAGAAAGAAAGGCUGCCUGAUUAUCAUUCAUAUAAUGUCCUUUUCUCAGCACACCAAAAUGGGAAGAUAAAGAAGGAUGCUCUGAGGCCUCAGAAGAAAAUGAUAAACUCAUGAACUAAGAAACAAAAAUAAAAAGAGUAAAGAAAGUAGGAGCUGCUGAAGA
rnacentral:lncRNA from 1 species